UACGGGGGGGGCAAGCGUUGUUCGGAAUUACUGGGCGUAAAGGGCUCGUAGGCGGCCAACUAAGUCAGACGUGAAAUCCCCAGGCUCAACCUGGGAACUGCGUCUGAUACUGGAUGGCUGGAGUGCGGCAGAGGGGGAUGGAAUUCCACGUGUAGCAGUGAAAUGCGUAGAUAUGCGGAGGAACACCGAUGGCGAAGGCAAUCCCCUGGGCCUGCACUGACGCUCAUGCACGAAAGCGUGGGGAGCAAACAGG
rnacentral:rRNA from 1 species